CGAAAAUGGCAGAAGUAAUCACCAUGCUAAAGGGUGUAGGUUUAGCUGAAAAAUGGGCUGAGUGGGAGCAACUUGAAGAAGUAAGAAUUCAACAAUUUUCGCUCAUGUCGCGACAGUUUAUGCGGGCUGAAGACUCAACACAUGAUCAAGAAGCUAUACAAUUGUCUCAAGCAAGAUAAGAUGCAGAAAAAUGUAUGUACAAGUACUUCUGCAAUAAAAUGUAAGGGUAGUUUUAGCUUUUGCUGCAGCUAGCUAGUUAUGUAAUAUGUAAGAGUAGUUUUAUCAUGCGUUAUAUAAAGUUACG
rnacentral:misc_RNA from 1 species